rnacentral:rRNA from 1 species
GGAGGGUGCAAGCGUUAAUCGGAAUUACUGGGCGUAAAGCGCGCGUAGGCGGUUUGGUCAGUCGGAUGUGAAAGCCCUGGGCUCAACCUGGGAAUGGCAUUCGAUACUGCCUGACUAGAGUAUGGUAGAGGGAAGUGGAAUUUCCGGUGUAGCGGUGAAAUGCGUAGAUAUCGGAAGGAACACCAGUGGCGAAGGCGGCUUCCUGGGCCAAUACUGACGCUGAGGUGCGAAAGCGUGGGGAGCAAACAGGGAUUAGAUACCCUGGUAGUCCACGCCGUAAACGAUGAGAACUAGAUGUCGGGAGGGUUGCCUUUCGGUGUCGCAGCUAACGCGUUAAGUUCUCCGCCUGGGGAGUACGCCGGCAACGGUA